UAUCUCUGUAGAGUCUGCAUAUCAAUAAGCGGAGGAAAAGAAACUAACAGGGAUUCCCCUAGUAACGGCGAGUGAAGCGGGAAGAGCUCAAAUUUGAAAUCUUAAAGGGUUUCCCUUUACGAAUUGUAGUUUAAAGAAGUGUUUUCUGUUGAGGUUUUGGUAAAAGUUCUUUGGAAUAGGACAUCAUAGAGGGUGAGAAUCCCGUAUUUGACCUUUACUUUCAACUUUGUGAUACACUUUCAAAGAGUCGGAUUGUUUGGGAAUGCAGUCCAAAAUGGGUGGUAAAUUUCAUCUAAAGCUAAAUAUUGGCGAGAGACCGAUAGCGAACAAGUACCGUGAGGGAAAGAUGAAAAGAACUUUGAAAAGAGAGUUAAACAGUACGUGAAAUUGUCAAAAGGGAAGCGUUUGACACCAGUGUUGUUUUUCUGAAAAUCAAUUAAAGAACUGUUUAUGCUAAGUUGUUUAGACUUUAUCAGCUAACUGUUUAGUUUUGAGCUUUUCUUUAAUGCACUUUUCAGUUAACAAGUCAACAUCAAUUUCUUUUGCUGUAAAAAAGCUUGAGGAAGGUGGCUUGAGAUUCGUCUUAAGUGUUUAUAGCCUCUUGCCUAUGCAGUCGGAGAGAUUGAGGUCUGCAGCGUAGAUCCUUCGGGGCUAAAUGCAUUUGUGCUAAGUUAUAGCAUUUUAUAGACAACUUGUUGACUAUGAUUUGUCUUGUAGCUUACUCGCUUAUGUUAUUUUACCUACGCUUAGGAUGUUGACGAUCAGCUGAGCGCG
rnacentral:rRNA from 1 species